ACGUAGGAGGCGAACGUUAUCCGGAUUUACUGGGCGUAAAGCGCGUGUAGGUGGUUCUGUAAGUAGGGCGUGAAAGCUCCUGGCUCAACUGGGAGAGGCCGUUCUAAACUACAGAACUAGAGGAUGGUAGAGGGAGGUGGAAUUCCAGGUGUAGCGGUGGAAUGCGUAGAUAUCUGGAGGAACACCGGUGGCGAAGGCGGCUACCUGGACUAUUCCUGACGCUCAGGCGCGAAAGUGAGGGGAGCAAACGG
rnacentral:rRNA from 1 species